GACUGCGUAGCUCAGUUGGCAGAGCAUUUGGGCUAGUAUUCCAAAGGUCGUAGGUUCGAUUCCCACCGUGGUCA